UUAUAAAUGCACGAGCCAUACACAAAAACGUUGAAGAAAACUCUGCAUUACGCAGUGAAAUGGGAAGACGAGCAGUUUGGCUGGCAUUUUGUCUCUAUUAAAAAUCUUCGGAACCAAAAAGGAGUAAUUGCUGAAAUCUACACCGCUGGUGAAAGCGUGAUCUUCAAGCAAGGAAAAAAAGAAUUUCCAGGAAAAGUUAUUUCCAAAGAUGAAGCUCCCGUUGCUAAAACGAAAAAAUCUUCCAAGAAACAUCCAGAUAAAGAAAACGCUAAAAAGGUCCCGAAAGCCAAAAGCCAACCGCGUAACUCCAAAAAACCUGUGGUACAACAACAGCUUCAAAUAUCGCCUAGCAAGAAAGGGAGUGACGCGAGGUUCAAGAAAUUCAUGAAGUGUCUGAACGCAGUUUUUGAUAAGUACCAACUACAAGAUAUUGCCAUCGACACAGUCACACUCGAUUUUCAGCAGAGCUACCCUGAGUACGAAGAGAAUGAAAUUGCGGACUACUUGCUGGAAAUGGAGGAACAAAAUCAACUGAUGAUCACAGACAAAAGAAUAUAUAAAGUGUCAACCUAAUGAUCGAUUAUAUAUUUUCCUAUUCUUUCGCUUCUACUCUAACCCUCAAUUGAUAAUGAAGUGUGCGACGCGUAAUGCUUCAAUAGUAGAAAUUGUUUCAAUUUGAAAUGAAAUCAAACUUUCGGAAUUUGUCUCCAAUCUCAUAAACCUAGUUCUUUUUCUAUUAAUAGUUUUGUGGAUUAUUUGUGUGCAGUAGUGCAAUAAUUUGGUCUUUGUUUAUUAUCUCGUUUGUUCCCCGUCGCCAAAUAUGGGCUUAUUGAAGUGAAUUCACUUUUUUAAUUUUUA